rnacentral:rRNA from 1 species
CGCAAGCCUGAUGCAGCGACGCCGCGUGAGGGAUGACGGCCUUCGGGUUGUAAACCUCUGUUAGCAUCGAAGAAGCGAAAGUGACGGUAGGUGCAGAGAAAGCGCCGGCUAACUACGUGCCAGCAGCCGCGGUAAUACGUAGGGCGCGAGCGUUGUCCGGAAUUAUUGGGCGUAAAGAGCUUGUAGGCGGUUGGUCGCGUCUGCUGUGAAAGGCUGGGGCUUAACCCUGGUUUUGCAGUGGGUACGGGCUAACUAGAGUGCAGUAGGGGAGACUGGAAUUCCUGGUGUAGCGGUGGAAUGCGCAGAUAUCAGGAGGAACACCGAUGGCGAAGGCAGGUCUCUGGGCUGUAACUGACGCUGAGAAGCGAAAGCAUGGGGAGCGAACAGGAUUAGAUACCCUGGUAGUCCAUGCCGUAAACGUUGGGCACUAGGUGUGGGGGACAUUCCACGUUUUCCGCGCCGUAGCUAACGCAUUAAGUGCCCCGCCUGGGGAGUACGGCCGCAAGGCUAAAACUCAAAGAAAUUGACGGGGGCCCGCACAAGCGGCGGAGCAUGCGGAUUAAUUCGAUGCAACGCGAAGAACCUUACCA